UAUUUUAAAAUCGCCACACACCCAAAACUGCCAAAAGCCCACCCAAAACACUCAAAGCUCAUAUCAAAGACGCAAACUAGGGCCGGCUUCGAGUGAGAGGGAGAGUGAACAAGCCAAACGGAGCGAAACCCUAAAUUGUAGUCAUCGUCGCCGUCGCCAUGGCCACUGCCACCAUCACAGCGAUUCAUCUCCUUGCCGCUAGCGCCAAUGCCACCACGUACUUUGACAAUCUCUUUUCUCAUUGUUUCUUCCGUCGGCGCGUCUCUUGAGGUUACGACAUGGAAGGAAUUCGGUUCAGACACUAUUGAAAUUUCGGGAAAACAAAGCUAAUGUCUGAUAACAUGAUUAAGUGGAGGAAGGAGUUCAGUUUGGAAACUAUUGUAGAGGACUUUGAUUUCAAGAAAACAAUGAAGUGAUAAUCCUUCUCUAAGCCUUAGACUACAGCAAAAGUUCAUGAGCGGAAUGAGAGGUUGUUUUACAAGCUUCUGAUUGAUAAUAACAUGGAGGAUCUGCUUCCUGUUGUUUACAUUCCAACUAUUGGAGAAGCCUGUCAGAAAUAUGGAAGCAUUUUCGUUGACUGCAAGGUCUAUGUGUCAGUUUGAAAGUGAAGUAUGCAUCAGUUUCAAAGUGAAAAUGGAUGAGAUUCAGAAAUAGAAACGGAAAACUGAAAAGAAGGUAGGAUUAGGAAUGUGUGAGGUUUGCUGUGGUUUGCAACACCCUUAUGUGAUGGUCCCCAACUUCCUCUCCCCUGAAGAAUGCAAGGUUGAAAGACAAGCUAGAGGAGUUUUUCAACUGUCAAUAUGAGCUCUUUGUUGAAUUCACCGCUCUAAUCAGCUGGAGCAGAGGUGCAAGCAUUGAGUGGCAUAGUGAUGAUAACAGACCCUACCUCAAACAGCGGCACUUUGCAGUCCGGAUUCCACUUUUCACUACUCCUCUCUUUUAUUGAAUUUUAUUUAAUACUGUUGCUAACAACUUUUGUUCAUCAAAGGUGGUGUGCUAUUUAAAUAAUUAUGGCAAAGAUUUCAAUGGUGGACUCUUUGGUUUUCAGGAUGGCCAGCCAAUAUCAAUUAUACCAUGGCUAGAGAUGUUCUGAUGUAUACUACUGACCAGCGUAAAUGAGGUAUAUUUAAUUGUGCUCCUUUCUUGCAUGCUCUUAUUUGGCCUUGUACAUAAUCAGCUGUUUUAUUUCGAUAUAAAUCUCCUUCUCCCAGACUCCCGGAUUCCCUGUUUUAUUUCAACCAAAAAUAGAGAAGAGUCAAGUUCCCCUUAUCAGUCAAUUAACUUUGAUUAAUUAAUUAAUUAAUUGGGAGCAGUAGCUAAUUAGCUAUCACACAUCAUUAUUAUUUUAAAAUAUGUUGGUUGGGGAGAUGUCACUCAAUGUUAAAACUUAAUUAAUCCCAAUAUCAUCCUAUGAUCUUAAUCUUAUCUCCAAGUUUGGACCGAGUAUUCAUUGUACUUUGCACUCCAAAAGGGAAAAAGUAAAAUGCUUUCACUUUUCUUUUCUUUUUUUUUUCAACAAAAAGAAAUCUACUAUUACAUUUCUUGUUCUAUAAAAUGCAAAUGUCAACAGCACGCUAUGCAAGUGUCAACACUUAUCUUGGAAUUGGUGAGUACUACUUUUGUACAGUUUAUUCAAUUCUUUCUUUUUCUUUUCCCUGUUGAUAAUAAAUUAGAAAUGGGUUAUUACAUAUAGUAUUGAACGUUUCUAAUUAUCUUAUUGUACUUUACUUUUCUGGCAGAACAAAGCAGAAGGGAUGAUCUGGAAUCUCUUGGCUAUGUGCUCAUGUACUUCUUAAGGGGAAGACAUGGGAUCAAGAACUUCGCUUUUCCAUGGUUGAUGGAGACUUUAAGAAGUUUGAUGGCAAAUGCCUAAUGCAAUAGAAAAUGGUCCCUAUGAUUAUACCAGAAGUGGAAAUCCCACUCGAGAUGCUUCAGAAAGGUUGAUGAAUGCAUUUUUUGGUUAAGCAUUAUAUUCUCAAUCAACACAACGAUGCACUGUUUCAGCGAGCGCAAUUAAAAUUCCAUGUUUCAAUCCAUAGCCAAGAGAUUGAACCUCAACUUUUAUCCGGAAAGAAUGUUAUGAUCGCUGCCCAUAGAAACUUCCUGAGAUCCAUUAUCUUGUAUCUCGACAAGUUAACUUCCCAAAAGAUUUCUGCUAGCAGAAGAACUGAAGCUACCAAAUUUGCCCAAUUAUGGAAUGAAAUUAUUUGCAGUUUUCGUGAGGAAGAUGUCAUUAGUGAUAGGCAAGGCCUCAAAGAAAAUGUCUUUACUUGCUCUUACCUGCCUUCUAUUACUUUCUCCUUGAUUCUUAUGUUUAAUUUAAUUAUGUUCCAGAAAUUGAUUGUUUCUAUUUUAUGCAUCUAUAUGGGGAUUGACCUCUUGUUAUUUUAUUUUACUUUUUAAAGAAAAACAGUAAUAGUUAUGUAGAACAAUACCAUAUGGAAUUAUGUUUGGAACUAUUGACAUUGAGAAUUUUUUUAUAUAUAAAGUUAUGUCUUAUAUUAUUGAGGAAUUGUCUUAUAAAAGAUUUAGUUUUUAAUUUGAGAAUAUGUAAAUGAGAUGAGAUUAAUGAAUGAUUUGAAAUUUAAAAUAAAUAAAUAAUUACAGGAUUUGUGGAGGUUUGAAAAUCCCACAAAAUAGUUAAUUUUUGUUAAAUAAAAAAAUUAAUUUGUGGGGGUUUUAAAACGUCACAAAAGUACAAUAUAAAACCCCCACUAAACAUACACAAAACCUCCACUGAAUAGAUUGUGGAGGUUUUUGAAAACCCCCUACAAAAGACCUCGUGGCACCUCAAAUUUUGGGGGUUUUGGAAACCCCAUAAACCAUUUGGUGGGGGUUAUAAACCUCCACAAAUAGGAGAAAAAACCUCCACAAAUAAACAAAAAUCUUGUAGUGAGUUGAACUGUUUGUCUGCUUUGUUUUGACUGGUAGGGUCAAUACGAAGGAGAGGCUAAGUCAGUUGGGAGUUAUCCACCAGGAAGAUGUUGUAUGUGUGCUUUGCAACAAGAGUAUUGAAUAUGAUCACCACUUGUUC